CCUACGGGCGGCAGCAGUGGGGAAUAUUGCGCAAUGGGCGAAAGCCUGACGCAGCGACGCCGCGUGAGGGAUGAAGGUCUUCGGAUCGUAAACCUCUUUCAGCAGGGAAGAACGGUCACUGUGCUAAUCAGCAUUGAAUUGACGUUACCUGCAAAGGAAGCACCGGCUAACUCCGUGCCAGCAGCCGCGGUAAUACGGAGGGUGCGAGCGUUAAUCGGAAUUACUGGGCGUAAAGCGCUCGUAGGCGGUAUGUCAAGUCAAUGGUGAAAUCCCCGCGCUCAACGUGGGAAUUGCCUUUGAAACUGGCAGACUGGAGUGUGUGAGAGGAUAGUGGAAUUCCAGGUGUAGGAGUGAAAUCCGUAGAUAUCUGGAGGAACAUCAGUGGCGAAGGCGACUAUCUGGCACAUAACUGACGCUGAGGAGCGAAAGCGUGGGUAGCAAACAGGAUUAGAUACCCCUGUAGUC
rnacentral:rRNA from 1 species